AAGGGGUCAAGAUCCCAAAGGACUACCCUCACAAAAAAGGGCAAGCCCUGGGGUAGUCUGUUUGCAAAGCUGUACUUGUUUUUGCUGAAAACAAGUGUGCUUCUGUUACCUAUUUUUUUUACUUCCCAGUGGGGUGGGGAGGGUGGGGGGGUAGGGGGGGAGAAAGUCAAAACACAUGUCACCCAAUCAUUUUUCAGGAAAAGCACAGAAGGAGCAUACAACCAGCAAAACUGACAAGUACAAAAUCCAUCAGGCAUCUUGCAGGAAUGUGUGCAGUCAGCUCCCGGGAAGAACUGACGGCUCCCUGAAUUCUUGGGCUGGAUUUGGUGAGCACUAAAAGGAACCGGAUUCGUUAAACGCUGGUAGAAGUGUUUUCCAAUGGCUGCAACGGUUGGUCAACCUAACUUACGGAGAAGAGCCCAGACAGAGGUAGUCCAACUCUCAGAGGUCUCAGCUGCACUCCCAGCUCUUUACCUUGCCCUGGGGCAAGGCACUAACCUCUACUAAGCCUCACUCUCCUCAUCUGUCAAAUGGGGAUAAUAACACCCACAGACCACCCUGCGAUAUUCGCUGAGGAACUCUUACGGCUGGAAAUGAGAGUUGACUGCAGCAGCCCCCCCCAGCUGGUCCCCUGCCUGGUCACCGUGCCCUCUUUGAAGACACUCUGCACAGUGGGUGUGGAUGCCGACCCUGGAGACAGGUAGCUUGUGUCAGAUUUGGCUCUGCUUCUUUGCCGUAGCUGUGUACUCCUAGGUAAGCUGCUUGGCCUCUCUGGGCCAAAUGUCCUCAUUUGUAAAGCAAAGAUGGUAGCACCACCUCAUAGGAUUGCCGUGAGGGUUGAGUUGGGAAGCGCCAUAUGAACAGUAUUAUCACUGGUGGAAGUCUUUUAUAUUUGCGCCAUGCCCGUCCCCACAGCAUGAAUCAGGCUUGGACCAACUCUGCUAGCAUCUUCUUCCCCUUUGCCCCUGACAAGCUAGAGUCCUGUUCUCAUCUGUGACACAUAAGGGAAAGUGUGCGGAGACUCCUGGGACUUCCCUCUCUGAAGAAAGAGAGAGCAGAAGAAAGCCCCAUGGCCUCUGUCCUUGAGGACUGGGACUGGGGACUGUGGCAGCUGCUGUGAGACCAUAAGGAAAGAUUCUGCCCACUGUGCUUCCAGGAAAUUCCUUCCCACCAUCUCACAGGAAAUCGGUCCCUUUCCCAAUCCUGAAUAACAAGAAAAAUCAGUCAAUAAGGCUGAGUACAGUGGCUCAUGCCUGUAAUCCCAGCACUUUGGGAGGCCAAGGUGAGCGGAUCACCUGAGGUCAGGCCUGGCCAACAUGGUGAAACCCCGUCUCUACUAAAAAUACAAAAAAUUAGCCAGGCGUGGUGGCAGUCACCAGUAGUCCCCACUACUCAGGAGGCUGAGGCAGGAGAAUCCCUUGAACCUGGGAGGCAGAGGUUGCAGUGAGCCGAGAUCACGCCAUUGCACUGUAGCC
rnacentral:lncRNA from 10 species